UGGGUAACCUGCCUCAAAGAGGGGAAUAGCCUCCCGAAAGGGAGAUUAAUACCGCAUAAUAUGUUUAGGUCGCAUGACUUUAACAUCAAAGGAUUUUCUUUUAGAAAUUCCACUUUGAGAUGGACCCGCGGCGCAUUAGCUAGUUGGUGAGGUAACGGCUCACCAAGGCAACGAUGCGUAGCCGACCUGAGAGGGUGAUCGGCCACAUUGGAACUGAGACACGGCCAGACUCCGUAGGGAGG
rnacentral:rRNA from 1 species